rnacentral:rRNA from 1 species
AGCGAACGCUGGCGGCAGGCUUAACACAUGCAAGUCGAGCGGGCCCUUCGGGCUCAGCUGCAGACGUGGGGGUAACACGUGGGAACGUACACUUUGGUUCGGUAUAACGCAGGGAAACUAGCGCUAAGACCGGAUACGCCCUUACGGGGUAAGGCCUCCUGCCGAAGGAUCGGCGCGCGUCUGUUUGGCCGGUUGGUGGGGUACUGGCCGAGCAAGGGGUGGAUCAUUAGCUGGUCUGAGAGGAUGGUCAGCCACACUGGGACUCAGGCACGGCCCAGACUCGGACGGGAGGCAGGAGUGGAGAGUAUUGUACGAGGGGCGCAAGCGUGAUCCAGCCAUGCCGGGUGAGUGAUGAUGGCGGUAGGGUUGUAAAGCUCUUUUGUCCGGGACGAUAAUGACGGUACCGGAAGAAUAAGCCCCGGCUAACUACGUG